AAACUUACCUGACAGGGGAGGUACCAUGAUCACAAAGGUGGUUUUCCCAGGGUAAGGCAUAUCCAUUUCACUCUAGAUGUGCUGACCCUGAGAUUUCUCCAAAUGUGGGAAACUCGACUGCAUAAUUUGUGGUAGCAGGGGACUGC
rnacentral:snRNA from 1 species